AGCUUGCAGCUCCCACUACAUCGCUCUGACCAAGAAGGGUAAAAGAAUAGCAAAGAAACAGCACUAACAAAGUUUAGACCCAUAAAUUUUGAAGGUCUAGCUACCAUAUUAUUACCCACAAGGGUAAAGGAACAGUACCACUGCUGGAUAAUUGGAAAGUCCCUGUGUGUCAACCUCUGUGCUUCGUGGCAAGGUAGACUAGCAAACAUGCCCAACCUUUACUCACAUUCGAGAAAACACUCCCAAUAAAAUUGCUUGCUCCAAAAUCGAAGAGGCACCGUCCUCCGAAUCUCGAGAGCCAGACUCCCAACAUGACUACUUUCUUAAAAAUCGAAGAGAGGGUAAAGGAACAGUACCAUUGCUGGAUAAUUGGAAAGUCCCUGUGUGUCAACCUCUGUGCUUCGUGGCAAGGUAGACUAGCAAACAUGCCCAACCUUUACUCACAUUCGAGAAAACACUCCCAACAAGAUUGCUUGCUCCAAAAUCGAAGAGGCACCGCCCUCCGAAUCUCGAGAGCCAGACUCCCAACAUGAUUACUUUCUCAAAAAAUCGAAGAGACACUGCUCCCCGAAUUUCGAGAGCCAGACCCCCAGCAUGAUUGCUU
rnacentral:lncRNA from 1 species